rnacentral:pre_miRNA from 1 species
UCACCUCUGCAGGCUGGCUGGUCCCCAGGCUGGGCUGGGCAAAUAGCUCUUGCAAAGGCUCACCCUCAAGCAUGACUAGGAGC